rnacentral:tRNA from 1 species
GGUGGACAUAUUGGUCUAUGAUUCCUGGCUUGGGCCCAGGAGGUCGUGGGUUCAAAUCCCACCC